rnacentral:rRNA from 1 species
CGGGGGCCCGCACAAGCGGUGGAGCAUGUGGUUUAAUUCGAUGCAACGCGAAGAACCUUACCUACUCUUGACAUCCAGAGAACUUAGCAGAGAUGCUUUGGUGCCUUCGGGAACUCUGAGACAGGUGCUGCAUGGCUGUCGUCAGCUCGUGUUGUGAAAUGUUGGGUUAAGUCCCGCAACGAGCGCAACCCUUAUCCUUUGUUGCCAGCGGUUCGGCCGGGAACUCAAAGGAGACUGCCAGUGAUAAACUGGAGGAAGGUGGGGAUGACGUCAAGUCAUCAUGGCCCUUACGAGUAGGGCUACACACGUGCUACAAUGGCAUAUACAAAGAGAAGCGACCUCGCGAGAGCAAGCGGACCUCAUAAAGUAUGUCGUAGUCCGGAUUGGAGUCUGCAACUCGACUCCAUGAAGUCGGA